UACCAUGGUGGUAACGGGUAACGGGGUGUUAGGGCACGACACCGGAGAGGGAGCCUGAGAAACGGCUACCACAUCCAAGGAUGGCAGCAGGCGCGCAAAUUACCCAAUCCCGACACGGGGAGGUAGUGACAAUAAAUAGCAAUACGGGGUUCUUUAGGAUCUCGUAAUUGGAAUGAGUACAAUUUAAAUCUCUUAACGAGGAACAAUUGGAGGGCAAGUCUGGUGCCAGCAGCCGCGGUAAUUCCAGCUCCAAUAGCGUAUAUUAAAGUUGUUGCAGUUAAAAAGCUCGUAGUUGAAUUUCGGGAUCAAUACGUCGGUCGUGCUUUCGGGUACGUACUGGCGUCAUUGGUUUCUCCUUUCUGACGAACCAUGAUGUCAUUAAUUUGGUGUUAUGGGGAGUUAGGACUGUUACUUUGAAAAAAUUAGAGUGUUUAAAGCAGGCAUUAGCUUGAAUACAUUAGCAUGGAAUAAUGAAAUAGGACGUUCGAUCCUAUUUUGUUGGUUUCUAGGAUCAACGUAAUGAUUAAUAGGGAUAGUUGGGGGCAUUAGUAUUCAAUUGUCAGAGGUGAAAUUCUUGGAUUUAUUGAAGACUAACUACUGCGAAAGCAUUUGCCAAGGAUGUUUUCAUUAAUCAAGAACGAAAGUUAGGGGAUCGAAGACGAUCAGAUACCGUCGUAGUCUUAACCAUAAACUAUGCCGACUAGGGAUCGGAUGACGUUAAUUUUUUAAUGACUCAUUCGGCGCCUUACGGGAAACCAAAGUGUUU
rnacentral:rRNA from 1 species